AAACAACCUAAAUAAUGCAAUUUCUUAAGGAGAAUCCGUAAUAAAGAGGCCAAUUGCCAGCAUAGAAGUAUUAUAUAGACUUCAUCCAUGCAGUCACAUAAUAAAGCUGUAACUUAGUACCUUUGUGUAUUGAAAUUCAGUUACAGGUCUUGUAUUUCCAGGUGUUUUUAAAGAUUUGGAUCUAGCCUCAACCCCAUCCCUAUCCUUCAAUAUUUGAUUUUUUACAAUCAUUUUCCAAUUGUUUGGUGAUUAUUAAGUAGAGGCGUAGUUAAAUGAAAUGGCUGCAAGAAAGCAUUUCGGUUUUCUGCCCAGAUGAUUUGGGUCCUAUCCUUUGGAAAAUUUGUUUAAGCUCCAGCCAUUACUGUUUGGCUGACCUUUCCAUUGGUGGGUAACUAUGGUAGGAUCUAUAUUUGCUUGCCAAUUAAUAAUCAGUAGAUUGGAAAGUAGUUGACAGCAAAAAAAUGGUGAAGCCCAUUUCAUCCCUAUUACAGAUGAUUCAUACUUAUGGAGAGAUCAAUUGGACUAGAGGAUGGGAAUUGACUAAAGGAGACAUGAAUCCAGAAUCCUCAAAUAACUUUCUGAAGCAGUGGACUCGAGAUUCAAUUGUCAGCCUUCAAUUGAAACUCAAAGCAUUUUCACACAUCCAAUAUGCCCACCUUCAAUAUCCUUUGGCCGACCUAAUCACAAUGUGGGCAGUUUUCAGUUGAUCUCUGAAAUGGUACUGCUAUUUACUAAUCUCUAGUUGGAAAGUAUAUAUUUAAAAAGAAAAACAGAUGAUUUCACCAAAAGUCAAUAUGUAUUGCUG
rnacentral:lncRNA from 1 species